CGGGCGCGGCGCCGGUCUAAGUCCCUUGGAACGGGGCGUCAUAGAGGGUGAGAAUCCCGUAUGCGACCGGUGACCAAGCCCGUGUGAAACUCCUUCGACGAGUCGAGUUGUUUGGGAAUGCAGCUCAAAAUGGGUGGUAAAUUUCAUCUAAAGCUAAAUACUGGCCAGAGACCGAUAGCGCACAAGUAGAGUGAUCGAAAGAUGAAAAGCACUUUGGAAAGAGAGUCAAAAAGUACGUGAAAUUGUUGAAAGGGAAGCGCUUGCAACCAGACCUGCCCGCGAGUGAUCAGCCGUCCUUCUGGGCGGUGUAUGCACCCGCGAUCAGGCCAGCAUCGGUUCGAGCGGCCGGAUAAAGGCCUUGGGAAUGUAGCUCCCUUCGGGGAGUGUUAUAGCCCUCGGUGCAAUGCGGCCAGCCCGGACCGAGGACCGCGCUUCGGCAAGGAUGCUGGCGUAAUGGUUGUAAGCGGCCCGUCUUGAAACACGGACCAAGGAGUCUAACAUCUAUGCAAGUGUUUGGGUGUCAAACCCAGGCGCGCAAUGAAAGUGAACGGAGGUGGGAACCCCUCGAGGGCGCACCAUCGACCGAUCCAGAUGUCUUCGGAUGGAUUUGAGUACGAGCAUAGCUGUUGGGACCCGAAAGAUGGUGAACUAUGCCUGAAUAGGGUGAAGCCAGAGGAAACUCUGGUGGAGGCUCGCAGCGGUUCUGACGUGCAAAUCGAUCGUCAAAUUUGGGUAUAGGGGCGAAAGACUAAUCGAACCAUC
rnacentral:rRNA from 1 species